rnacentral:rRNA from 1 species
UGCAAUUGUCUUCGGAUUAAGCACUCUGAUAGGACUGCCUGGGAAACCAGGAGGAAGGUGGGGACGAUGUCAAGUCAUCAUGGUCCUUAUGUCUAGGGCUACACACGUGUUACAAUGGCCAGUACAGAGGGCAGCAAUACCGCGAGGUGGAGCAAAUCCCAAAAAGCUGGUCUAAGUUCGGAUUAGGGUCUGCAACUCGACCCUAUGAAGUUGAAAUCGCUAGUAAUCGCGUAUCAUAACGACGCGGUGAAUACGUUCUCGGACCUUGUACACACCGCCCGUCACACCACGAAAGUCGUUUGUACCCAAAGUAGUCUUAGCUAACCUGUAAAGGAGGCGGGCGCCUAAGGUAUGGAUGGUAAUUGGGGUG